rnacentral:rRNA from 1 species
UACGGAGGGUGCAAGCGUUAUCCGGAUUCACUGGGUUUAAAGGGUGCGUAGGCGGAUAUGGAAGUCCGUGGUGAAAUCCUGCAGCUUAACUGCAGAACUGCCGUGGAUACUCUCUAUCUUGAAUAUCGUGGAGGUUAGCGGAAUAUGUCAUGUAGCGGUGAAAUGCUUAGAUAUGACAUAGAACACCCAUUGCGAAGGCAGCUAACUACGCGAUCAUUGACGCUGAUGCACGAAAGCGUGGGGAUCAAACAGG